UCGAACGAAGCACCUGAGAAUGAUUCUUCGGAUGAAGUCUCUUGUGACUGAGUGGCGGACGGGUGAGUAACGCGUGGGUAACCUGCCUCACACAGGGGGAUAACAGUUGGAAACGACCGCUAAUACCGCAUAACCCGCUGGUGCCGCAUGGCACUGACGGAAAAGAUUUUAUCGGUGUGAGAUGGACCCGCGUCUGAUUAGCCAGUUGGCAGGGUAACGGCCUACCAAAGCGACGAUCAGUAGCCGGCCUGAGAGGGUGAACGGCCACAUUGGGACUGAGACACGGCCCAGACUCCUGCGGGAGGCAGCAGUGGGGAAUAUUGCACAAUGGGGGAAACCCUGAUGCAGCGACGCCGCGUGAGUGAAGAAGUAUUUCGGUAUGUAAAGCUCUAUCAGCAGGGAAGAAAAUGACGGUACCUGACUAAGAAGCCCCGGCUAACUACGUGCCAACAGCCGCGGUAAUACGUAGGGGGCAAGCGUUAUCCGGAUUUACUGGGUGUAAAGGGAGCGUAGACGGUGAUGCAAGUCAGAAGUGAAAGCCCGGGGCUCAACUCCGGGACUGCUUUUGAAACUGUGUGACUGGAGUGCAGGAGAGGUAAGCGGAAUUCCUGGUGUAGCGGUGAAAUGCGUAGAUAUCUUGAGAAACACCAGUGGCGAAGGCGGCUUACUGGACUGUAACUGACGUUGAGGCUCGAAAGCGU
rnacentral:rRNA from 1 species